rnacentral:rRNA from 1 species
GAUCUUUAUUUUUAUUUUUUAUAAAUUAAUAAGAUUUAAAAUAAUUUAUAUUUAAAUUAAAAAUUUUACUGGGGUGGUAUUAAAAUUUAAUUAACUUUUAUUUUUAUUUACAUUAAUAUAUGAAUAUUUGAUCCAAUUAUAUUGAUUAAAAAAUUAAGUUACCUUAGGGAUAACAGCGUAAUUUUUUUUUAGAGUUCAUAUCGACAAAAAAGAUUGC